UCCAACCCUGAAUUAUCUCCCUUAUUUUGUGAAACACAAAAGGAGGUAUUUGGCAGAAUGUCCGAGAUGCUAUUUUCCAUGCAAGCUUUGUAGCUCUCAAAUGUAAUUUGUGGUCACAUAUAUUUAAAUAUGUUGCGUCACAAUCUCUCAUGUGACACGCAAAAACCAAAGCUGAUGUCAAACCUAGCGUGAUGCAUAUAAAGGUAACAUUUUCUAAUUUUAUGCUAACGCAAAUUCGAUUUAUGAGCUCCAACGGAGGGCAAGAUUAUCGUAACGACUUAUUUUCCAUCUGUUCCUCAUAAGCAAGCUGUCUUAUGGCUUCAGAAGACUUGGAAUAUAGUGCACAAGUCAUAAGGACUACAUUUAUGAUACUUCAUUAGUGCUUUUUUAGAACUUGUAUAAUUUAAUAAUCAUCCACUUUUGUUGGAAAAAAGCAGCUUAGACAUUCUGCCAAAGUCACAUUUUGUGUUUCAUAGAAGAAAGAAAAUAAUACAUGGUCGAAACAACAUGAAGGUCAAUAAUUUUUUGGUGAAGACAAAAAUGAAUUUACACUGAAUUAAUGAGUCAUAUUUAGGUCAAAAGUCUCAAGUGUCUUCGAAUUGUCAUCUUUGACAUUUGUCACCGCAAAUUGAACAAAGGAAACUGAAAUGAAACUCGACCCAAAACAAUGCCUUACUUACACUCGUGUCUGUUGCAUGUCACUAUGUGUCUUUUAAAACAGCCAUGCUUUCUGGAUUCAAAAUUGAAACCAUUUGUUAAAAUAAAUUCAAAAAGUUUGGCUUUAUACUUGCUCAGCUUUUGCAUGAAAAACAUGUUGGUCUCUUUACAGGAACAGCGGAAAAAACACAGACAAAUGAAGACAGACAUAUGUGUAGAUGUGUAAUGUGUAAUGAUAUUAAACUCGUGUUGUUAAAUUUCUCAAUUAUUUCACCUUGUGUGUCUUCCCACAAUUAGUUUCCUUAUGUCUUCCUAUAAUUACCAACCAAAAUCAUGCGUCCUUGUUGAUGACAUGGUUAUCCGUUGUCUGGCAUCCCUUUCUGUAACGCAGCAGUUUUGUCCUGUUCCUGCUGGUUUGAGAACAGCCCCUAUAUGACGUAUAUGGGAGUAAGAAUUAAUUGAGCAAAAAGUUUGUGUACUCCUCCAUUCAUUUGGAGCCAGUGAACAAAGUUUUGAGCCUGUGCCAGGAACAUAGUGUACUGUGGGGAGAGAGAAAGAGAGUAGCGCGAUGUUUGCUGGCAGGCUGCCCUGCAGAGUCAAGUUGAUUCAAAUAAAAUAUUGUGUAGGCUGUUUGGCGCGCUGGAAUGCUGAUCGUGUCUCCACAUGAUAAGGAGGCAGCCGAUCUUUCCAGAACUAAACCAGUUUGUGACAGCCACACAAACACACAGGGCCCAUUGCCCCCUCCCCCUUCCCUUUGCUGUCUUUUACAACCUGUCAUAAGGCCCACGUUGUAUCUUAUACAUGUUUGUUUUAUCUGUGAAAAGUAUCUUCUCUUUGUCUUUUCUUUUUAUUGUUUGUUUGAGGGUGUGUAUUCACGGGAAAGCAAAGCCACAGAAAAAGGGAAAUAAUAACAGAUACAUGUGGAGGUGAGGGCGUGGUCGAGCGCCCGUCUGGGGAGAGAGAAAACGACUACUCGUCUAAUGAUGAUGAAGAUCCAGAUGAAAGCAGAACAGACUCAUCUCUUCUUGAUCCAGCUGAGAUCGGCACAGAGUCAGCCAGCCAGUGGGUCCGAUCUGCUUAGGGGAUUCUUCAGACACCUCAGAAACAAACAGCCAAAAGUGUCAAGACCCCACAGGACCCAGUAAAAAGAGGAGGAAGUUUGAAAGGAGUUGUCCUGGGUGGAUGGAAGCGGUCCUGUUGAGGUGUUGGUCCAAAUGAUCUACUGUGUACCCAUCAUGCACUCCUUUAACAGAGCUUCUCUCCAGCACAGUAUGCUGGGAAGUCCUCCACCAGAAUCAGCACCACCAGUCCACAUUGUCAGGUUGUGUGCUCUAGUUCAGGAUCAUUAUGGGAUGUUCUGUGAAGUUUUCUUGCAUUAUGUAUCCACCGAAUCAUGUGAGCAGCUGGAGGGGCGUGUGUGUGUCCUCCAGACCACGAGGGUCAUUCAGCAUCUCACCCGUGGCAGGUCAGAUAUUCUGCUGGGAGCAGACAGUGAUCCAACUGGUAUUAGAAGAUCCAUGUUUCUCCAUUUCCCAGUCCAUAAUACUGGAGCACCUCAGUCCAGAGACAAUCCCAUACUCUCUCUGCACUAUAACAGGUGUUAUUGUUGGAUGAAGUGGAUGAAAGCACAGCCUUCUCUUGGCCUACCUGCUGCCGAUGUGAGAGUUGCCUUUUACUGACGACUUGAGAACAACAGAAAGGAUUUCUUUGUUUAAAGUGUGGAACAAUGAUGGAGGAACCAGCCACAAAGAUGCAGUUAGAAGUGUGUUUGAGCUGUCCCUUACUAAGCUGUACUGUCAAAAUCAAGUUGCAGCAAAAUACUAUAAUGUCUCUCCUAAACUCAACAAGAUGUAGAUAGGUAAGCUUUUUGACUGUUACACUCCUCUGCAACUGACUUAUAUUUGUCUCUGCAAAUUAUAAGAUGGGGUAGAAGGUAUUUUUACUUCAAAAAUGGCAUACAUCACCCUUAAGGUAAAACCUCAUAUUCACACUAUCUUUAUGCCUUCAAGAAUCUUCCAACAACACGUGAAACUGUCAAUCGUUUUGAUUUCUUUAGGUAUAAUGAAUGAAUACACCUGUACUAGUCUUAAUCAUUGUUAUCACAAUUGUGCUUACAUUGAAUUACAGUGCAUAACUGACGGUUAAAUGUCAGCUUUUAAUGUUGUAUUUCUUUGCCUUAAAGGGUUGCAGUUUGGAUAAUGUUCUUGGGAUGGAGAUCGGACCUCUUGAUGCCUUCGUCCAUGUCGUCAACCAAAGUCACAUUGUUUGGAUGGGUCGAGCAUUUGACCUACACCGACUUGCACACUUAUUUGCCGUUAUUGUUCAAAAAGGGUAAUAUGUCAACAUUGUGUACCCUAAUUCCAAAUUGAUGUAGGGGAAAGGAAGCAAGCUUCUAUUUACAAAUAUAGUUUAACUGUGUGCUACCUGGACCAAAUUACUUUUUGAAUGUUGGCCAUUCUGUACCCUUUAGUUACCAAACUAGAAAUGCAAAACUAUUAUUAGUAGUAUGAAAGAUACUAAUGUGAUGUCCAAUAUAAGCUAAUUUAAUGACUUUCAAUUGCUAUGCCAUCAAUCAAACACCAGCUACGUUUCUGAUUUAGUUCUAUUAUUUGUAGAAAUAAGUUCAUGUUUCUGGUCUGUAUUACAGAUUUGUUUACUACUGUCUAUGAACUGUUUGUCAAAUUUGCAUUGUUGAAAUAGUUUAGUUUUUAUAAAACUAA